UACGAAGGGGGCUAGCGUUGCUCGGAAUCACUGGGCGUAAAGCGCACGUAGGCGGUUCGCUGUGUCCGAUGUGAAAGCCCCGGGCUUAACCUGGGAAUGGCAUUGGAAACUGGCGGGCUUGAGUGCGGCAGAGGGGGUGGAAUUCCGCGUGUAGCAGUGAAAUGCGUAGAGAUGCGGAGGAACACCGAUGGCGAAGGCAGCCCCCUGGGUCGACACUGACGCUCAGGCACGAAAGCGUGGGGAGCAAACAGG
rnacentral:rRNA from 1 species